rnacentral:lncRNA from 1 species
CAUUUCCGUUCCGUAAUAAUGAAGAAAUGGAUUGGAAUUGUUCACGGAUUUGGAUGCAGAAUAAUGACCCGUGUACCUGGCGUGCUUCUGGAGGAGCGACCUUCGGACGGACUGCGUGGGGUGGGCGGUGAAGACGAGGUCGACGGUCUGGUUCUUGAGCGCGUCGAAGACCUCCUCCUUGGACUUUCCGAGCUCUGUGACGAGGCGCUUGAGCGUCUCCUCGAUGUCAGACUCGGUGGCAGCGAAGCCCUCGUCGGCGAAGUCCCCGCGCUUGAGCUUGUUCCGGCGGAGGUGGGCGAGCUGCACCUCCUCCGCGAGGUUUGUUAGGUUGAGCAUGUUCGAGAAGGAGCUCGCCACGACGAUGGCGUCAUUGGGGGACAGCUUGGUGAGCCUGGACCCGAGCUCGCUCAGCUUCGCGGCGUCGCGAUCGCGCUCGUACUCCGCCGCCACCUCGUAGCACUCCUGGACCUGCAAGCAGAAGCGUGCAGGGCCUGGUGGUCAGUCGCCGGCCGACCGGGAGAGGCGGCGAACUGGAUCGAAUUGAAGGACGAUUACGAAUUCACGGAUGUUUGGGCCGUGGAGGUCCUGGAAGAUGUCGAGGAAGCGGUCGAUGAGGAGGGCGUCGUACUCGACGAGCUUGUCGUCCUCGGAGACCUUGCCGGGUGCCAGGAGCCGGAGCUGCGCGUCGAUGGAGUGGUGCUUCUCCACGGGCUUGGACGCCAUGGCGUGGUGGGAAGCGAAGCGAAGCUAGAUGACUGGAGUGGAGCUAGAUGGCUGUGGCGGUGGCACGAGGUCGAGCGAGGCGCGCGGGUGGGUUUAAAUAACGGAUGGGGCUUCUAAAAAAAACAAAAUAACGGAUGGGGAGUCGGCGAGUGUGUGCACGGGAUUGCACGCCUCAUGGCGGAUGGAAAGGGGGCUUUUUUUUUUUUCAAGCGGAGGGCAUGUGACCGGCGGCGAAUCACGAAUGCAAGGGGAGGGCCGAGGGGCAGCGCUGCGGAGCGAUGUGCUCGUUGCCUGGUUUUCGUCUGGGUUGUGCUGUCGACGUACUUGUCACUGCUCAAUCGCCUUCUUCUUCCUCGAAUCCUUCUCUUGGCUAUAAUUAAUUUGCUUGGUGUGGAGGGACUUGGACUCA